UACGUAGGGUGCAAGCGUUGUCCGGAAUUAUUGGGCGUAAAGAGCUCGUAGGCGGUUUGUCGCGUCUGCUGUGAAAACGCGAGGCUCAACCUCGCGCCUGCAGUGGGUACGGGCAGACUAGAGUGCGGUAGGGGAGAUUGGAAUUCCUGGUGUAGCGGUGGAAUGCGCAGAUAUCAGGAGGAACACCGAUGGCGAAGGCAGUGUUCUGGGCCAGUACUGACGCUGAGGAGCGAAAGCGUGGGGAGCAAACAGG
rnacentral:rRNA from 1 species